rnacentral:tRNA from 1 species
UCUCUGGUAGCUCAGUUGGUAGAGCGGUGGACUGUAGAUCCAUAGGUCGCUGGUUCAAAUCCGGCCCAGAGGA